GCUGCUCGUCAUGCUGCGCAUUUCGCAGACGGCAGUUGUUUAGCGCCAUGGAAUGGCGAUUUCCGUGAUGUUAGGACGCGGGGAGCGCGAUAGUAGCAGUACGUAUACGAGUCGCGUUUCACCUUUUUGUUUCGCGUUUAUGAACUUUACCUGGACGUAUGGAACUACGCACAACAAACGACGUCGUCUGGAAUUCACCGAGGACCCCGGCGAGCUUCGUCUUCGGCAUCAAAUUGGUGAGUUUCAUAAUGUGACAAGCCGGCGGGGGGUGGGGGCGUGUUCAUCGAACAUCGCUCGCUAAUAGAUUAGUUCGAGUGGCAUUUAAGGCUUGGUUGCGUGUAACUUUAGCGGGCGGGUUCCUUGAACACGUCGCUACUUCAUGGUCAAUAUUCUCGGGGACACAGGCGGGUAGGCUGAGCUCGCGGUUAGUCAGGCAGGUAAGGCAGGUAGCUUUUUGUGUCCUCGGGAUUAUUGCACGUGACGAACUGGACGGCCCGUGAAGCCUGUGCUGCCAUUAUUUCAAGCCAGUGUUUUCUGGUACGUAAACACGUGGUUGUCGCGGGCCGUGACACGUGGCCGGCCGGUUCGGCUUGCCGGCUUGUUGAAGACUGGAGUGCGAAGCGGUUCAAGCACUUCGUCUGGACUUCGCGUCGGGGCCCUGCUGCUGGCGGAGUGCAGCAUUUCCUUUGCUCGUCUACCGGCCGUGGCUUCACGCUCAAGCGUUACUUGAGCGCUGAACGCCGUACGUACUCGCGCGCCCCGCGCCACUCCUUCGCAUCUUCCGCACCAUCGUCGACGGAGUCUCUGGCGGACGUGCUACCGGCACUGC